rnacentral:rRNA from 1 species
UACAGAGGUCCCAAGCGUUGUUCGGAUUCACUGGGCGUAAAGGGUGCGUAGGCGGUCGGGUAAGUCUGAUGUGAAAUCUCACAGCUUAACUGUGAAACUGCAUUGGAUACUAUUCGGCUUGAGAGUUGGAGGGGAGACUGGAAUUCCUGGUGUAGCAGUGAAAUGCGUAGAUAUCAGGAGGAACACCGAUGGCGAAGGCAAUCCCCUGGACCUGUACUGACGCUCAUGCACGAAAGCGUGGGGAGCAAACAGG